rnacentral:rRNA from 1 species
GACGAACGCUGGCGGCGUGCUUAACACAUGCAAGUCGAACGGAAAGGCCCUGCUUUUGUGGGGUGCUCGAGUGGCGAACGGGUGAGUAACACGUGAGUAACCUGCCCUUGACUUUGGGAUAACUUCAGGAAACUGGGGCUAAUACCGGAUAGGAGCUCCUGCUGCAUGGUGGGGGUUGGAAAUUUUCGGCGGUUGGGGAUGGACUCGCGGCUUAUCAGCUUGUUGGUGGGGUAGUGGCUUACCAAGGCUUUGACGGGUAGCCGGCCUGAGAGGGUGACCGGCCACAUUGGGACGGAGAUACGGCCCAGACUCCUACGGGAGGCAGCAGUGGGGAAUAUUGCACAAUGGGCGGAAGCCUGAUGCAGCAACGCCGCGUGCGGGAGGACGGCCUUCGGGUGGUAAACCGCUUUCGCCUGUGACGAAGCGUGAGUGACGGUAAUGGGGAAAGAAGCACCGGCUAACUACGU